rnacentral:tRNA from 1 species
GGUACUGUGGCUCAAUGGUAGAGCAUCUGCUUUGUAAUCAGAAAGUCUGGUGUUCAAUCUCCAGCACUGUUA